GGGAGCUGUAAGUAAGCUUUGAUCCAGAGAUUUCCGAAUGGGGAAACCCAGCGUGAGUUAUGUCAUGUUAUCGAUAUGUGAAUACAUAGCAUAUCAGAAGGCACACCCGGAGAACUGAAACAUCUUAGUACCCGGAGGAAGAGAAAGAAAAUUCGAUUCCCUUAGUAGCGGCGAGCGAAACGGGAAGAGCCCAAACCAACAAGCUUGCUUGUUGGGGUUGUAGGACACUCUAUACGGAGUUACAAAGGACGACAUUAGACGAAUCAUCUGGAAAGAUGAAUCAAAGAAGGUAAUAAUCCUGUAGUCGAAAAUGUUGUCUCUCUUGAGUGGAUCCUGAGUACGACGGAGCACGUGAAAUUCCGUCGGAAUCUGGGAGGACCAUCUCCUAAGGCUAAAUACUCUCUAGUGACCGAUAGUGAACCAGUACCGUGAGGGAAAGGUGAAAAGCACCCCGGAAGGGGAGUGAAAUAGAACCUGAAACCGUGUGCUUACAAGUAGUCAGAGCCCGUUAAUGGGUGAUGGCGUGCCUUUUGUAGAAUGAACCGGCGAGUUACGAUUUGAUGCAAGGUUAAGCAGUAAAUGUGGAGCCGUAGCGAAAGCGAGUCUGAAUAGGGCGUUUAGUAUUUGGUCGUAGACCCGAAACCAGGUGAUCUACCCUUGGUCAGGUUGAAGUUCAGGUAACACUGAAUGGAGGACCGAACCGACUUACGUUGAAAAGUGAGCGGAUGAACUGAGGGUAGCGGAGAAAUUCCAAUCGAACCUGGAGAUAGCUGGUUCUCUCCGAAAUAGCUUUAGGGCUAGCCUCAAGUGAUGAUUAUUGGAGGUAGAGCACUGUUUGGACGAGGGGCCCCUCUCGGGUUACCGAAUUCAGACAAACUCCGAAUGCCAAUUAAUUUAACUUGGGAGUCAGAACAUGGGUGAUAAGGUCCGUGUUCGAAAGGGAAACAGCCCAGACCACCAGCUAAGGUCCCAAAAUAUAUGUUAAGUGGAAAAGGAUGUGGCGUUGCCCAGACAACUAGGAUGUUGGCUUAGAAGCAGCCAUCAUUUAAAGAGUGCGUAAUAGCUCACUAGUCGAGUGACACUGCGCCGAAAAUGUACCGGGGCUAAACAUAUUACCGAAGCUGUGGAUUGUCCUUUGGACAAUGGUAGGAGAGCGUUCUAAGGGCGUUGAAGCAUGAUCGUAAGGACAUGUGGAGCGCUUAGAAGUGAGAAUGCCGGUGUGAGUAGCGAAAGACGGGUGAGAAUCCCGUCCACCGAUUGACUAAGGUUUCCAGAGGAAGGCUCGUCCGCUCUGGGUUAGUCGGGUCCUAAGCUGAGGCCGACAGGCGUAGGCGAUGGAUAACAGGUUGAUAUUCCUGUACCACCUAUAAUCGUUUUAAUCGAUGGGGGGACGCAGUAGGAUAGGCGAAGCGUGCGAUUGGAUUGCACGUCUAAGCAGUAAGGCUGAGUAUUAGGCAAAUCCGGUACUCGUUAAGGCUGAGCUGUGAUGGGGAGAAGACAUUGUGUCUUCGAGUCGUUGAUUUCACACUGCCGAGAAAAGCCUCUAGAUAGAAAAUAGGUGCCCGUACCGCAAACCGACACAGGUAGUCAAGAUGAGAAUUCUAAGGUGAGCGAGCGAACUCUCGUUAAGGAACUCGGCAAAAUGACCCCGUAACUUCGGGAGAAGGGGUGCUCUUUAGGGUUAACGCCCAGAAGAGCCGCAGUGAAUAGGCCCAAGCGACUGUUUAUCAAAAACACAGGUCUCUGCUAAACCGUAAGGUGAUGUAUAGGGGCUGACGCCUGCCCGGUGCUGGAAGGUUAAGAGGAGUGGUUAGCUUCU
rnacentral:rRNA from 1 species